rnacentral:tRNA from 1 species
AAUGUUUCUCAGUGGUAGAGGGCUUGCCUUGCAAGCAUGAGGUCCUGGGUUUGAUUCCUCAGCAUU